rnacentral:lncRNA from 1 species
GCAAUUCAGUCAUACCAAUAAUUGCUAUUUCUACCAAUAUAUUCACCCUCAUUAUCUCCAACUGUAAUAUUGUGCCCUCAUAGCUUUCAGUACACAAUUACCAUCAUCCCAAUCACUGGAAUUCUUCACACAAAACUGCCAUUCAUAAUACGGUGUUUCACACAAAUACAGACUCAUUCUCUUUGCUCAACUACAAUCAGAUUUCAGCAUUCAAUCUUUUUUCUUCUCAAAUAAUACCAAUCACAUUUCCAUUCCAUAAUUCACUUCACAAUAUUUAAAAACUCUCAAUCCUCUUAUUCAAAGAAAAUAACAAACAAAAGAAAAGAUGUAGCACCAAGCUUACGCCGGCUCACAACUAUUACAGCGAUGGCCCUCGGCUCAUGACUAUCAGAGUUUGGCCCUCAGUUUACGACUCUCACAGUCUGGCUCUCGGCUUACGAUUCUCACAAUCUGGCACCUUAAUUAACUUCUACAACUCCUAAAUACUUUCCCCUGAUUCUCCAGAUUCUAACCGUAAUUCUGUAAUUAAUCGCUUUUAAGAACUAAAUCACUUAUCCG